CAGGACCUCAAGAUCAUGACCUGAGCCGAAGGCAGAUGCUCAACUGACUGAGCCACCCAGGUCACAUUUUCUGAUCAGAAGUUACUCUCCAAUGGUUUCCACAUCUCCUCCUGAGACUUCAGCUAAGAGAGCUCUGGAACAUCAUUGUGACCUGGAGAGGUGAAGGAAGGCUUCCUGAGGGGUAUGGGAGCUUAGUUGGACUCAAAAACACCCUGCGGAGAGAAAGACAUAGAGAGAGAGAGAAGCAGAGACACAGGAGGAGGGAGAAGCAGGCUCCAUGCUGGG